GGAAUAUUGGACAAUGGGCGCAAGCCUGAUCCAGCCAUCCCGCGUGAAGGAUUAAGGUCCUAUGGAUUGUAAACUUCUUUUCUCUGGGAAUAAAAACCGGUAUUUAUACUGGCUUGAAGGUACCAGAGGAAUAAGCACCGGCUAACUCCGUGCCAGCAGCCGCGGUAAUACGGAGGGUGCAAGCGUUAUCCGGAUUCACUGGGUUUAAAGGGUGCGUAGGUGGCUUUGUAAGUCAGUGGUGAAAGCCCGGAGCUUAACUCCGGAACUGCCAUUGAUACUGCUUAGCUUGAAUCAACUUGAGGUGGAUGGAAUAUUACAUGUAGCGGUGAAAUGCUUAGAUAUGUAAUAGAACACCGAUUGCGAAGGCAGUUCACUAAGGUUGUAUUGACACUGAGGCACGAAAGCGUGGGGAUCAAACA
rnacentral:rRNA from 1 species